UAAAAGAUUAAAAGUUAAGGUAGAUUUUUACAAAUGUAUGUCUACCAUUAUAGUAUCAUACAGAAUGGUUUUACUGCCGUGAAGAUUCUCUGUGCUCUGUUUCCUUGUCUUCCUUCCCCUUGGUUCAUGGCAACCACUGAUGUUUCUACUGUUCCCACGGUUUCACCGUUUCCGGAACGUCAUAUAAUUGGAAUCGAACAGUAUGUAGACUUUUCGGAUUGGCUUCUUCUCUUAGCAAUAUGCAUUUAAGUUUCCUCCUUAUAUUGUUUUGUGGCUUGACAGAUCAUCUCCUGUUAGCAGUGAGUAAUAUCCCGUCACCAUUAUACUUUUGUCAAGACUCAGAACGUACAACGUGAAGAGGAAACAUGAAUGUGCACGGUCGCAAGGGCUGGUGGUCUCUCAUCUGGAUGGCGCCUGCUGAGUCCUGGAACAUGCUGCUGUGGUCCAAGGCGAUUUAAACCUGUGCCGCAGAUUAUUCACCUGAGUCUUUUUGCAAUAGAAUUUUAAGACCCUCUUUCAUUUAAAUUUUUGAAACUUAGUGUCCUUCCUAAAAAUAAAAUGAAAUGAACUUUC